GGAUGGGUGGCAGAGUGGUCGAUUGCGGCGGUCUUGAAAACCGUUGAACCGGCGACGGUUCCGGGGGUUCGAAUCCCUCCCCAUCCGCCA
rnacentral:tRNA from 1 species